UGGAAGUAAAAGUCGUAACAAGGUUUCCGUAGGUGAACCUGCGGAAGGAUCAUUAUCGAGUUUUGAAAGGGGUUGUUGCUGGCCUUUCCGGAGGCAUGUGCACGCUCCGCUCAUUCCACUCUACACCUGUGCACUUACUGUGGGUUUCAGACGUGGUGCGAGCCUUUACCGGUUCGUGAAGCGUCUGUGCCUGCGUUUAUUACAAACACUAUUAAAGUAUUAGAACGUGUAUUGCGAACAUAACGCAUUUAUAUACAACUUUCAGCAACGGAUCUCUUGGCUCUCGCAUCGAUGAAGAACGCAGCGAAAUGCGAUAAGUAAUGUGAAUUGCAGAAUUCAGUGAAUCAUCGAAUCUUUGAACGCACCUUGCGCUCCUUGGUAUUCCGAGGAGCACGCCUGUUUGAGUGUCAUGAAAUUCUCAACCUAUAGAUCCUUGUGGUCUAUAGGAUUGGACUUGGAGGCUUGUCGGCUUUAUAGUCGGCUCCUCUUAAAUGCAUUAGCUUGAUUCCUUGCGGAUCGGCUCUCGGUGUGAUAAUUGUCUACGCCGCGACCGUGAAGCGUUUUGGCGAGCUUCUAACCGUCUCUUACGAGACAAUUACUUGACAUCUGACCUCAAAUCAGGCGGGACUACCCGCUGAACUUAAGCAUAUCAAUAAGCGGAGGAA
rnacentral:misc_RNA from 1 species